rnacentral:tRNA from 1 species
AGCUCAGUUGGUAGAGCAAGUGACUCUUAAUCACUGGGUCGAGAGUUCGAGCCUCUCC